rnacentral:lncRNA from 1 species
UUGAUGAAUUUUUCGAUUAGGGGAUAAUUUGUUAAAUUAAUAAAAGUACAAGGAUUUAAUGUGAAAUUGUUGCAUAAAUGGGAUGUUUUGAAUAUCAUGAAAUUCAGCUAUCUUGAGUUUGUAUUAAAAAUGGUUAAUUUGCAUGUUUUGGGCUUAGGGACUAAAUUGAAUAAAAAUAAAACUUUAGGGGCAAUUUUACAAAAAUGUCAAAAAUAACCAAAUUGCCUGAAAUGAAUUGUUUUAUUGUCUAAAUUAAUAUAUGGAAUGAAAUUAUUAAUUUAGAUUAAGGUCGAGUGGAAAAUUGAAGAAAAUGGAAAAUUACCAAAAUGCCCAUGAAUCUUGGUAUUUCUGCAAUUUAACUAGGUAAGUUCGUAUGAACUAUAUUCUGUAUAAUUUUGAUUAAAGUGAAUGUUAAUUGGUGAUUGGUAUUAUAUAUAUAUUCUAUUGUUGGAAUUGAAUUAUUAUUGGAAAUAUAUUAUCGAAUUUAAUACUCAGUUUGGAUUGAAUGCGGGAUUUGAGUACAUUCGUAAAUUGGAGGGAGACAUCGGCAUAUUACCCAAGUAAACCAGCAUUCAGCAUUUGUUGCGAACUCUCAUGUUUUACUUUAUAUUUGGAGCAAUUUGGGUGGAUCAGCUCUCACGAGCUUCUGUUGGCGUGUUAGGGAGGACCAACUCUUAUGAGCUUCUGUUAACGAUGUGCUCUUAUCCGUAAGUCGUUCUUCGAUUUCAGAAAGUCUUAGUAAAAUGAUUUAUUUAAUGAAUUUGAAAGUUAUCCAAUGAUAUUCUAAAUGGUUCAACGGGCAACGUUCUGUUAUGAGAUGAUAUGAGUUUGAUACAAACUAAUACAGGUAUAUACAUGAAAUAUACGGAAAUGAUGGUACAUGAUAUGUUUAUAUAUAUAAUGAUAUAUUGAAAUGGAUGAUAUAUGUAUAUGAAGAAACGGUAAGAGAAUGUUAUGUAUGACAUGAAAAUAUACGAAUAUCUUUGAUAUGUUGAUACAUGGAAAUCAUAUAAGUUGAGACGAGUAAUAAACUUAAGUGUGACAUGUUGAGAUAAUAAGAUUAUCGAUGUUGAAUUUAUAUAAAGUAUGUUCAAGUAUGUUAACAAGUGUUCUUGUUUGAUGCUUAGGCAAAUGCCAAGCUGUUGGUUGAAUGGUAAUGUGUUUAAUUAUAAGUUGUAUUGAAAUGGUAAGUGUUCAAAUGAAAUUAUGUUUGAGUUCAUAAAAGAGUAGUAAGGUUUAAAGUUAUUUAAAAUCCUACUAUGCUAGGGAUGAUAUGUACAAGUGAUGCUGUGGUUAUAUUCACCUUGUGAAUUGUUGAAUAUAGCUUCAUGAAUCUUGUGGUAUCGGUAUUGGAUUGUUCUUUAUAUGUAUAAAUUUCAUAUUUGAAAUGAAUUGAUAUGAUUAAAGUUUAUACGAGCUUACUAAGCAUUCAUUGCUUACGUAGUUAUUUUUCUUUACUUUUAGAUUAUCGGAAGCUCGAUUGGGUUGGAAGCUUGUCGGAGUUAUAUCACACUAUCCAUCAGUUCUAUCGGUACUUUCGGAUGUUUUAAUUUUGGUUAUAAUGGCAUGUAUAAGUAUUUUGUUUAAUGUUGGCCUAUAUGUAAUUUGUUGAGGUUAGCCAUUUAUUUUGGCUUGUUUUGGAUGCCUAAUUAUGGCAUGCUGAUACGCAUAAUGUUGAUUGUAGGUUGACACCAAAUUGGGUGAGAUAUAUGGCUUGUAAAUUGGUCUAUUUCAGUCCACACGGGCAAAGAUAAUGGCAUGUGUCUCAAUCGUGUGAAACACAUGGCCAGGUGACACGGCCAUGUGUCCCCUGUAUCUUUUAAAGAGUGCAAGUUAGUAUAUUCACAUGGCCUGGCACACGGGAGUGUAACUUGGCCAUGUGACUCAAGUCAGAGAGUUACACGAGCAUGGGUACGGGCUGGGACACGGUCGUGUGUCCCUAUUUCGAAUGUCCACACGGCCUAAGACAUGGGCAUGUCUUUUAAUCGUGUGAGCCACACGACCUGGCCACACAGUCGUGUGACCCCUACAGUGUUGAAAAUUUUAAAUAUUUCUGAAAAAAAUUCUUUGAUUUUUCGAUUUUGUCCCGACAUGUUUCUAAUAUGUAUUUCGGGUCUUGAAGACUCGAUUAUGGGACAAUAUAUAUGAUUUUGAUUGGUUUUAUUAAGAAUAUUGAUAUGUAAUGAAACAUUUGAAAUUUCUGUCUGAAUGAUCCGUAAACUCCGGUAAUGCUCUGUAACCCUGUUCCGGCGAUGGAUACAGGUUAGGGGUGUUACAGGUACAAUACUUCCUGAAAGAAUAUCCAAAUAGGCUUUAAAGAGCAGUAUGGUAUCAAUACUUGCCAUCCAAGCAUUAGUACUUGAGGACUCAAGUAUUGAUACCUCUGACUCAAGUAUUGGUACUUAAAAACUUUGAAUCAAAGAUAUAACUUUGAAGCAAAGAUAUAAUAACAUGGGCCUUGGUAUCGAUACCUAAAGGUUAGGUAUUGAUACCUGAUAACAUUCUAGAAUAACAUAUUUUUAUGUAUUAAUUAUGUAUUUAUUCUGAGUACAAUCUUGCUAAUUUGAGCUAUUUAUGAUCUUUUAUCUCAUAGGGACUAAAUUUGAGGCAAAAGCAAAAUUAAUGGCCAAAAGCGUGAAUUUAGAGAUAAAAUGGGCCAAUGUGCGACACAAGGAAAAGUCGGUGCCAAAAGUACAAGCAUGGAGGAAACAAGGGUUGAAAUGCAAAAAGAAGAGAUUUUAUUCUAUCAGACUCUAUUUUAAUUAUAUUAGGAUAAUUAAUAUUAAGAUAAUUAUUAAGUAUUAUUUAAUUUUAGGAUUUUAUUUAAUUUUAUUUAAUUUUAUUUAUCUUCAAUUAAAUGUAUUUAUCUUUUGAG